CAGAAAUGGGCACUGUCGAGAUUUACUAAGCUACGGUACAAACUGCUUAAGCUUCCAAUGGUAGGCGCCUCGUCGUCUCCAUAGUGCUUCUUGAGGACUUUCACAAUUCUUCCCAACGGCAAACUCAAGAAGCUUAACAAAAUGUCUGCAAAAUGGCUGUCAGCUUCUGCGAAAAAUACCUUAGUUCUCUCUUUAUUGAUCAUCACUUUCAAUGAGAACUCUGCAUCUUUAGCAUCAUCCAUUCUCGAGGUCCUACAAAUCAAGAAAAUUCCGAUUGACGAUAUUUAGAUCAAGCACAAGUACAUUGUCUCACUAAAUCUGAAAACUUCAAUUAUUAUGCAAGUAAAGGUAGAUCUUCACUAUGCCGAAAAGAUGUUCAUAUAUGUCUGUUGCAUCAAUAAGAAUACAAUAAAAUUUCUUGCAUGCGUGUGCUGAUUUAGCGGUAAAGUAGUUAACGUUUGAGGCAUUUAGGCUCAAGUUCGAGUACACCGUGACACGGUCUUGUAAAAUAUUCCAAUCUCCUCCCCAAAAAAAAUCUUGAGCUAAAAAAUAAUUCCAUAAUAUACAUGAUAUACCUCAACAGAAAAUAAACAUAAAGGUGAGGUCUAAUAACUAAAAUAUUUAAACUUGAAUUUGAUACAGAAGUCGUCACUGCACUAAUUAGUUUAUAUGUGUAUUGAUCUAAUAGUAGAAUAUAAUUAAUGUUUGAGGUUAAAGGUAUCAAGAUUGCUAUUUGGACAUAAUAUGUUCAUAUAUAAAAUGGUCAAAUAUAUAAAACUAGUAAGGCGCCCGUCGAAAUUCGACGGGUAUAUUUUAUUAUAAUAUAAUAUAAUAUAAUUAUUUAAUAUAAUUUUUUGUUCAUAAAUUUCAUUUCAAUAAAAUAAAGUAUUGAAUAAAAUAAUUUUAAAAUAAAAAAUAAAUUUUCUGGAUUAGAUGCAUUAAUAUUCAUUAUGUCAGAGUAUAUGUUUUCCACUAUAAUUACAAUAGGAUUUGUUGCAUCCCGUAUAAGAAUAUCUUCUGACAAUGUCACAUUAAAUUCUUCAUCACUAAUACUUUAAAAAACAGCACUGUCACCUACUUUAAGUAUCCAUUCUAUGAAUUCUUUGUUUCUUCUGCAUUCAAACCAGAAACAUUUGUCUGAUUUAUUAUGAAAAAAAUUAUGUAUAAUAUCAAAGCAGUAUUUGUGCGUCAUUGACGCCUCAUCUCAAAUAAUAAGCUUUGUCUUUUCGAGAAACCCAGUUAAAUCGCUAUCUAAGCUAAUCUUGUUGCAUGUGAUGUUUUCGUGGCAGUCUAAUGAUACCCAAAAUAUAUAUAGAGUGUACUUCGUCAUAGCCUUUUUUUUAUUAUAAUUGUAGAUAAUCACUAUCUUAAUCAACUUCUGAAAGUUUUCAAAAAAAUAAUAAUUCAACUUCAGAAAGAUCUUCAUUGUGGAAAUUUUAGUUACACCCGAAAUAAAAUUUAAAUUGUGAGCAAAAUUUUAUAAAGUUAGCUUAGCUGAAUAUUAGUAUAUGAAUAUCAUCUGAGGGCAUUUCAUAGUUGGUAUUUCUAAUUAAAUCCUUGCAUUCGACUGCGAAGACUACUUUCUGUAGGUGCAUCUGUGCUAUUAUCUGAUGAGAAUAUUAGUAUAUGAAUAUUGUAACUCAUGAAUGUUAUACAUAAAAUUCAUGCAUUUUUGCUGGUUCGUAAUUAUUAAAAUAAGGGUGGUUUAUUCAAUAAACGCCACAUAUAUAUAUAAACUAUAGAUAUAAAAUAUUUGGAGAUAAUGUGUCAUUAUUGUAACAAUUGUUUUAGACUUAUUUUAUACUUUUAAAAGUGGAAUGUAAUUAUAUAAACGAUGCUUUCUUAUAUAUGAUAAUUUAGAUAUAGAUUUUGUAAAAAUCAGAAAUAAAUUCAAACAAUAUUAUAAAUAUAUAUCUAUGUCAAGAUCAAAUCGUAGAUAAUUUUAAAUAAUAUUGGUUAUAGCCUUAUAGGUAUCACGAUUGCCUAAUUGAUCGCUUAUUCAUAUCAUAAAUAUUUAUCUAUUUUCAUAAAUAGUGAUAACAAUAAUAUAUUAUUAUAUUUAUCAUAUCAUUAUAUAUAAAUAUAUAUAGAUUUUAUAAUUAGUAGAGUUUAAUUUGAGGUCGAAUUCUAGAUUAAAGAUUUAGAAGAAAAAUAAGAAUAAAUGAGAAUUGAGGAAAAUUAGAAUAAAGUGAUUAUACGCCGCCACGUAGGAUAUGAUUUAUUUUGCUUUUAUAUAUAUAUAGAAUCGAUUAAUUUAAAAAUUUUGGCUACAAAAAUAAAAAAGGAUUUAGUUAAAUUAAAAAUAAAGACAGCUACAAUGUGAACAAAAUUUUAAAACUAGCUUUAUUUUUUUUUAAAUCGAAAAUUUAAUAUUAAUUUUAUUUUGUAUAUAUUUGUUAAGUUCGAAUCCCCUGNAUAUAUACACAUAUAAACAUAUAAUUCAUUAUGGAAUUAUAAACGUGGGUUAUGCAAUUUUUCUUUUUAAACGUGGGGUGGUGUGCAUUUUUUAAAAAUUAUGGGUUAUGCAAUUUUAAUUGAGUUAGUUACUUAAUUUUUGAAUAUAUACAAUAAGUCAUUAUUUUUGUAAGAAAUCACAAAAUUGCCAUCUAAAUCAAUUUGAAAUCAAUUUCUAAUUGAAAACUGCUGUUUUAAUAUAGUAUAGAUGUUAAAUUUGAGUCAAUUCUAAAGGUAAAAGUAAAAUUACUAAUUACUAACAAUGAAAAUUAGUUUAUUUGUUUAGAAGAUGAAACAAUUUUUUUUUAAGAAAAAUGAAUAAAAGUACGUUUUUAUAUGCUUUCAAUCUACUUGAUGUUGAAUUAAUUGAAUUGCGAACAAUUAUCUUAUUAUAUUAAGUGAUUGUUGAAAAAAUGUAUGAAAUGAAGUGUACGGAAUGCUCAAAAAAUUUUGCUUCGGGGGCGCCGUAGUCCAAUAGAUUCAGCCCCCCCUAACAUUGAAUCCUGGAUCCGCCCCUGGACAUGAUCAUAGUAGAUGCUUAGGCUACGAAACCUAUUAGGCUGAGUGUGACGCCGAACGUAUGAAUAUUUACAAUAGAAACAUUCAGCAGGCUGAAAAUCAGUGAUGUCGAGUUUCAGCCUCCCGUAUUCAUCUUCGAAUGAACUUGUUGGAUCAAGCAGAGUCUGCUUAGCUCCAUCAGUCCAGAAAUAGGCACUGUCGAGAUUUGCUAAGCUACGGUACAAACUGCUUAAGCUACCAACGGAAGGCGGCUCGUCUCCAUAGUGGUGGUCGAGGAUUUUGACAAUUCUUCCCAACGGCAAAGUCAAGAAGCUUAACAAAAUGUCUGCAAAAUGGCUGUCGGAGUCUGCAAAGAAUACCUUAGUUCUCUCUUUAUUGAUCAUCACUUUCAACGAAAAUGUAGCACCCUUUUUAUCAUCAGCCAUUCUUGAAAUAUAUAUGUGGUACAAACAAAGAAAUAUUUGAAUAAUGUAAUCGGAAGACUUCAGCAAUCCCUGCAAUUUUAUGGGGGAAGAAGUUAACCAAGCGCCACUAGUCCCACCAAAUUCCAAGACCCAUCGGAUUGUAUUUUAUUAACUUCCCUAUUUUAUUUAAUCCAAAAAAAAUCGAUUUUAUUUAAGAUUGGAAAAGUGAGGUAGAAGUACCUCUUCCAACUAAAUUGCCGAUUUAGUGUCAAUGUAGAACACAUGCAGUUUAAAUUUAAAUAAGUUUCAUUUUAAAUAUAGGUUUAUAAAUUUGAUGCAUGCAUGUGAUCGACAGUUUCAUAUUUUUUUAAAUGAAACAAUUUCAUAAAUAUUAGGAGAUCAAAUGCAUCCCAUCUGGCUGCUCAAUUCCAAGUUAGUUACUGACGUUUAAUUUGAUUUUGUAUCUCAUAAAGAGAGUGAAUGCAGAGAGUCUUGGAAUUUGGUGGGACUAAUGACUCUUNUCAUUUUAGAUAUAGGUUUACAAAUUUGAUGCAUGCAUGUGAUAACAAUUUCAUAAUUUUUUUUUUGAAACAAUUUCAUAAAUAUUAGGAGAUCAAAUGCAUCCCAUAUGUAGCUGCUCAGUUCCAAGUUAGCUACUGACGUUUAAUUUGAUUCUGUAUCUCAUAAAGAGAGUGAAUGCAGAGAGUCUUGGAAUUUGGUGGGACUAUUAUGACUCUUAGGUUGACUUCUUCCCCAUAAAAAAGGGAGGGUUUGGUGAAAACCAUCGAUUACAUUAUUAUCUCAAGAAUGUCUGAAGUUGAGAAGGAUGUCAAGUUGUCAUUGAAAGUGAUGAUAAACAAAGAGAGAAAUGAGGUACUCUUUGCAGAAGCCGACAACCAUUUCACAGACAUUUUGCUAAGCUUCUUGAGUUUGCCGUUGGGAAGAAUUUUCAAAGUCUUCAAGAAGCACUAUGGCGAUGAGCUUUCUACCAUUGGAAGCUUAAGUAGUUUGUACCAUAGCUUAACAAAUCUUGAUAGCGCCCAUUUUGUGACGGAUGGUGCUAAGCAGACUCUGCUCAGUCCAGCCAGUUUAUUUGAAGAUGAAUACAAAAGGCUGAAACUCGAUAUCACUGAUUCUCCGCCUGCUGAAUAUUUCUAUUGUUCAGGCCGUGCCCCUCAUGGUAGAUUACAUAUUGUAAGCAUGUACUAUGACUCUGUUGAGCGUUGCAUACUUUGCCAUCGUACGAUGAAAAAAGCAGUAGCUAAGAAAGGGUCUGAAGCAGAUUCUUCUAGUGAUGGAGUGUUGACUAUACGUAAAGCAUCUUUCACAAUCUCUGAUGAUCUUCAUAUAUUUCCAAAUGAGAUUGGACUCCUACCAAUCAUCACCCUUCUCGGCAUUACAGAUGCGCAUAAGGCUGAGGAAAUCAAAGUGGAUCUUGGCUUCAAUGAGGUGAUUUCUUGAUUCUCUUUAAAUUAAAUCUCAAUCUUUGUUAUAACUAGUUAUAUAAUUAUUAAUUAAUUAAUUUGUGUAUGUAUUGUUGUUAGAUUAUGAAAUUGUUGAAGGCAUGCAUGACGUCCCCAACUCCAUUGUCGGACGUCAUCCUGAAUAAAACAACACACUUGAAGUCUGCAGAGGUUCCAUUGCACGAGAUGGUAGUAAAGGAAGAAAACACCAACACUAUGAGUUUGAAAGUUACCAUACAAAAAUCGACAGGUAAGUUGCUGUAUGCUCAAGCUAAAGAAGAUUUUAUCGAGUUUCUAUUUGGUUUCUUCAACAUCCCACUAGGAGGAGUUGGGCAUCUUCUGGCUGGCAAGACUCGUGUGAAGGCUAUAAACAACUUGUAUCUGAGCACAGAUGACCAUGUAAACGACGAGUAUUUCAAAACCUCGGUUAUGAAAAGAAGGCUAUUGGAACCCAAUGUGGUUCAUGGAUGCAUUUCUGAAAACAACAUUCUUCGCCUUACUGAAGAACCUUUGCCUGUUGACUACACACGCUAUAACGACUAUUUUUCUUCAGUGAAGUUUCCCAAAGGGAAAGGGAGGUGUCUUGAGCGACCAGCAACUUAUAAGGUGACAGAUGAUUUAACUGUGACCCCUUUUUGCACUGUCUCCAUUCUUUCCACUCUCAAUAGCUUGAAAAUCCCAAUAACUGAUGUCCAAGAAAUGGAGCUGCAAAUCGGAUUGAAAGAGGUAUAUAAUACAAUUUUAAAUAUGUGAUUAUGUUUUGUAGCAUGUGUUGAGAUGAAGUUUGUUGGUGCAGGGCUUGAGCAUACUGAAAGCUUCUCUUACAUCCACUUCUGCUCUCACAGAUUCUCUCCUCAGUCAUAAAUCGAGCAAGAAACCGAAGAAAGAACUCUCAGGCUGAUCCUUGGUUGCAACUAUUACAAAUAGUAUUAAUUAGCAACUAUGGUGCUUAUGUUUGUUUUUUGUUUCUGUAGAAAGCAUACUCUUGAAAGUUAUACAACUAAAAUCGAACUGUCAAAUGGAAUUUUUCCAAUUUAAAAUGUCGAAAAAUUCAUUGACAAUGCUACCUCGCUAACAAAAUCAGAGCAAUCCACAACUAAAAAUAACUACUGAAACUUGAAAUAGUUUACACUAUAAGAUUUUCUUUUUCAUUUCUUGGAAUCCCACACCAUGUCCUACUAUCAAAACUAUCUGACAUUUAAAAAAAAAUCAUGUUUAUAUUCCAAAAAUUAUUAUUUCUCACACCCGAAGAUGACGUGGCAUAUCUGAUGUGGCCUAAAUAUUUGAAAGCUAUAGUGAAUAAAGAGAAUCUUGAAGAAGCAAUAUCUGAUUUGAAUCUCUGAAUAUCUAGUUGUCAUGUUUUCUGGUUAUUAUCUAUUUUUUGCUAUUCUCGUUUUAUGUUUUGUGGUAUAUGCAUAUUAAGAGCAUCCCUUACAUCUGAUUAUGAUUCUGCUUGGCAUUAUCAUAAAAUAUGAUGCACAAAAAAUCUCUCUUUUGUAAGAUCAAUUUUCAUUUGAUUGGAUAUUUAGAGGGUGUUUGGCUAAGCUUAUUUUAAAGAGCUUAUAAGCUCUUGGAGCUUAUAAGAUGUUUCAAGAGCUUAUAAGAUGUAGUUUUCUAAGAACUUAUAAGUUGUCAAAGUGUUUGGAUAAUUGAGCUUAUAAGCUAGAGAGAGAAUUUUUUUCUAGAGAGAGAAAAUAUUUUUCUAGAGAGAGAAAAUCGAAGAGAAAUGAACUUAAAUGAUAUAUGAUGAAAAUAAUAAAUUAUAGUUGAAAAAUAUUUGUAAAAUAAUUAUUACAUAUGAGAUUAUAAAAAAAUAAGUUGGGGUAGAGGAACUUAUUUAUUUGGGAAGCUUAUAAGUUCUUGGAGCUUAUUUUUGGAACUUAUAAGUUAUUUAUGAGCUUAUUUUAUCAAAUACUUUGAAAGAGCUUAUAAGCUCCUAAACAGUUCAUAAGCUGUUUUGAAGAGCUUAUAGGCUAAGAGCUUAUAAGCUCAGCCAAACACCCUCUUAGUCUAGUUCUUGUAUUGUGAGCAUUCAGUAUGAAAUAGUGAUUAAAUUAUGAAAUUACAUUGUGAAACGAACAAUUUGAGCAUACAAAAAGUGAAAUAGUUUUAAAAUGAUGACUGGAAAAACAAGAACCAUAGUUAAAACAACAUAAAAGCACAAUGCAAAGCUAUGAAUUUAAGCCAACAAUGUCACAUUUAUGAGCAGCAAAACAAGAUCUAAAAGCAUGGAUCACACUCAGACUUCUCUCUUUGGUUGUUUGAUUGAUAUGUGACUCAAUAGAGCAUCAGAAAGAGCAGAAGUGGAUGUAAGAGAGGCUUUCAGUAUGCCCAAAGCCUGCACAAAAGAAAGCAAUCUCAACAUGUAAACAUAUGCUCAAAAAUAUAGUACCAACAGAUAUUUACCUCUUUCAACCCGAUUUCAAGCUCCACUUCUUUGACAUCAGAUAUCGAGAUUUUCUGCUCUUUGAGAGAGGAAAACAUGGAGACAAUACAUAAAGGUGUAACAGUUAAAUCAUCCGCCACGUGAUAAAUUUGAGGCCCCGUAAGAUAACUUCCCUUGCCAUUGGGAAACUUAAUAGAAGAAAACCAAUUUAUAUUAUCAAUGUAGACAGCAGGCAAGCAUUCUUCAGUGAGGGGGAAAAUGUAGUUUCCAGAAAUACAACCAUGAACCAGAUUGGGUUUCAUUAGCCUGUUUUUCGUAUCCGGGCUCUUGGGAUACUUGUCAAUAAGAUCAGCUGAGCUCCGAUACAAGUUGUCUAUAGCCUUAAUACAAGUCUUGCCGGCCACAACGUGCUCAGCUCCACCUAGUGGAAUAUGAAGGAGACCAAAUAGAAACUCUAUAAACUCUUCCUUAGCUUGAGCAUACAAAAACUUACCACUAGAUUUCUGUAUCAUCACUUUCAAACUUAACUUCUUAAAGUUGGGAUUUUCUUCCAUUGCAACAUUCUGCAGUAGUGGUGGAGAUUCCAAGAUUGAAGUGUUGAUCUGUCUUGUUUUUUUUAGGAUGACAUCCGACAGUGGAGUUGGGGACGUCAAGGAUGUCAUCAACAAGUUCAUAAUCUAACAAAAAUACACACAAAAUCAAACAAGUAAUAAGAAAAGAAGCUGUGAGAAAGAUAGAGAAUCAAGAAUCACCUCAUUGAACCCUAAAUCCACAUUGAUGAGCUCAGCCUUAUCCAUGUCUGUAAUACCAAGAGAGACGACGAUACCUACAAUCCCCGUCUCGUUUGGCAGUAUCUGCAGAUCAUCAGAGAUUAUGAAUGAUGCUUUAUGUAUGGUGAAAACUCCAUCUCUAGAAGCAGCUUUAGGCCCUUUUUCAUCUAGUACUACUUUCUCCAACUUACGAUAACAGUUCCAAAUAGGGCAAACUGUAAUAGUAUCAUAGUAAAUGCUCACACUACGAAAUCUUUUAGAGUGAACGCUACAAGAAAAAUAUUGAGCAGGUUGAAAAUCAGUGAUAUCGAGUUUCAGCCCCGCGUACUUGUCUUCGAAUGAACUAGUUGGAUUGAGCAGAGCCUGCUUAGCACCCUCAGUCACAAAAUGGGAGCCAACUUCAAGAUUUGCUACGCUUCGGUACAAAUUGCUUAAGCUUCCAAUGGUGGGUGCCUCAACUGAUCCAUAGUGCUUCUCGAGGACUUUCACAAUUCUUCCCAACGGCAAAGUCAAGAAGCUCAACAAAAUGUCUACAAAAUGGCUGUCAGCUUGUGCAAAGAGUACCCUAGUUUUCUCUUUAUUUAUCAUCACUUUCAAUGAGAACUCUGCAUCUUUAGCAUCAUCCAUUCUCGAGGUCCUACAAAUCAAGAAAAUUCCGAUUGACGAUAUUUAGAUCAAGCACAAGUACAUUGUCUCACUAAAUCUGAAAACUUCAAUUAUUAUGCAAGUAAAGGUAGAUCUUCACUAUGCCGAAAAGAUGUUCAUAUAUGUCUGCUGCAUCAAUAAGACUACAAUAAAAUUUCUUGCAUGCGUGUGCUGAUUUAGCGGUAAAGUAGUUAACGUUUGAGGCAUUUAGGCUCAAGUUCGAGUACACCGUGACACGGUCUUGUAAAAUAUUCCAAUCUCCUCCUCAAAAAAAAUCUUGAGCUAAAAAAUAAUUCCAUAAUAUACAUGAUAUACCUCAACAGAAAAUAAACAUAAAGGUGAGGUCUAAUAACUAAAAUAUUUAAACUUGAAUUUGAUACAGAAGUCGUCACUGCACUAAUUAGUUUAUAUGUGUAUUGAUCUAAUAGUAGAAUAUAAUUAAUGUUUGAGGUUAAAGGUAUCAAGAUUGCUAUUUGGACAUAAUAUGUUCAUAUAUAAAAUGGUCAAAUAUAUAAAAAUCGAUCAAUUUAAAAAUUUUGGCUCAAAAUAAAAAAGGAUUAAUUUAGUUAAUUAAAAAUAAAGACAGCUACAAUGUGAACAAAAUUUUAAAACUAGCUAAUUUUUUUUUUUAUUUUUUUAAAUCGAAAAUUUUAAAUUAAUUCUAUUUUGUAUAUAUUUGUUAAGUUCGAAUCCCCUGCCAAAUGAUCUUUAAAAUUAUUUAUUCAUGGACCCAAAAAAACCCAUUUUUUCGUCAAAUUCUGUCAUUAUUCAAAACCAAAAUCUAGUUUCCUGAGAGUCCAAUUAAAUCCUUCAUAAAGACUAAAAGAAGCUCGAAUUAAACAUCUCUUACUCGGGUAAUUCUAUCUAUAUCAAAGCCUAUUUUUCAGAAAAAAUUAAAAUUUAGUGUAUUUUAUUUCAAAUUUUAAAGAUUGCGAGCAAAAUCAAAAUCCGUCUAAAUUUUAUGUAUUUUGCGGCAAUUUACGCAUAAACAUAGUAGUAAUUAACUAAUUAAUAAUCAAUUAAAAAUAGGCACAGUGUGAACAAGAGAUGAAUAAGUCAAGAAUUACCUGAUUUCCAAUCUAUAAAAUUGGGGAUUUUCAGAGAAAAAGACAGAUUUUCAAGUCAACCCAGAAGAAAACAUGUUGUUGGAUGAGGGUGGCUGAGCUCGCGGCGGAGGAAGGGUGGCUGCGACGGUGGUUUUGAGCGGCUAAAAGUGAAGAGAGGAGUGGAUAGAUGAGUGAGAGAGAAGCACUGGCAUUAUUUGGCUACUAAAGCAAAAUGGAGCGCAAACAGUUGAGCUAUGCCAUUGGCGAAUCUUUGCUUUUUCACUUUUUUUUUAACUUCUUUUUCUGUUUUUCAACUUUUUCUUUUCCAUGUUUUUGGUUUGUCGGUUUCACAAAAAGUACUAUUGCAUGACUUUAUUUGACGCAAUUGUAAUUUAAUAUGUUUGAACAAAAAAGUACUAGUUAAAUACUUUAACAAAUAUAUUUAUUUAAAACUUUUGAUUAAAAAAAUAGUUAUUUUUAUUAUUUUCUCCAUAUUUUA
rnacentral:lncRNA from 1 species